GCACGCACGCACGCACGCGCACGCGCACGUACACGUACACAGACUUAUUUACACAGACAUGCACUCACACACACACACAUUCAUGGAUCUAAACCCACAGCAGGUCUGUGUUCCGGGGGUAAGCAGCAGGUAACAUCAGUGUCUCUCGUGGUUCAUCUCUCAGCCCUCUCUGUGUUCAGCUGGGCUGCUGAGCGUCAGAUUAGAGGGGGCCGCUUGGGUCUGGGGGGUCCUCACAGUCCUGACGUUGUUGAGGACCAGCUGUUAGGGGGACGUUUGAAUACCUGUGGACCCAUGGACGUACCUGUAGUGCAUCGGGUUGUUGAGCAGCAGCUGUUGGUGCUCUGAGGGGUCAUCCCGUUCAGUGGAAGUACAACACUUUGUGAUUGAUUUAAAUGCUCCACUGAACUCCAAAUGCUGCAUUUUAUUGGGCUUCUGAAAGGUUCAGUAUAAACCAUGAAAGAAAAAUCUUCCUUUGGGUUAAGCAGGUUGAACAAAGAUUUACUUUCUGAUGUAAAAUGUGUUUUAAUUGUUGAUUGAUGGUACGCUAUUUUACUACAAUAUUUUAUAUAUUUUCAACAUUGUUUUAAAGGAAUACAAAAUCAGUUUAUAUUUUGCCAUGCCUGACAUGGAACGUGAUUUAAAGCAGAUUUAACAACAUGAUCAUGAAUGAUGAUAAGGGUUCUAUGGGAAAGGGUAACGAUGUUGUAAAUUACUUUAAACGGAAGAUAGUUUCUUUGUGUUCUGUUGGGAACAACAAGUCAACAUGUUCAAUGAUUAAAGAUACCUGUUUAGGAUUUGUAAUUGUUCAUAAAGCAUAAUGUUAAUAAACAACUCAGUCGAUCAACUGAACGUUCUCGUGUGUUCAGAGGAUUCUUCCCGUUAGGUCAGUUUAAAUCCUCCAAGUCUUCUGGAGACGUUACCUCCAACACAACAGUGGAGUCUCCAUUCACCCCUUCAUCAGUGUGGAGGGAGGAUAUUACCACACACACAACAGUGGAGUCUGACUUUUUUAACCACACACGCAUAUACAAAAACAAAAAGUAGGUAAAAAGGUGGCUAAACAGACAGGCUAAACAGACAGGCUAAACAGACAGGCUAAGCUUGCCAGAGCCUAGCCUAUCUGGCGAACUCUGCUGUCUCUGAUUGGUUCAGAGACAGCAGGCCUGUGGUAAUGCAUCAGGCCCUUAGAGGGUAUUUCACGUUACAUGGUGCAAAGGUUUCCUUACGUCCUCAUCUCCUCCCUCCUUAUCCUUGCUGUCAUUGGACGGCGGGACGAAGUGGGUCAGCUGGAUGCAGUCCUCCAGGUAGUACCGCACACACACACACACACACACACACACACACACACACACACACACCUUGUCAAUCAAAAUCAAACCAUUUUCAUAUUUUUAUUGAUCAAUUUUGGGACCGAUAAGGUGCUGUGAUUUUUGUUGUUUCCCAGAUUAUCGAUCUCUUCAAUUUUGAUACAAUUUCUUCUGUUGAUAUACAAUACAGAUAUUUUGUCAUUUUGAGAACGCAUAUAUCUGCUGACCUUCUCCCCGAAGUCGAAGCAGGGCGAGGGGAAGGUCAUGUCCUGGCUGCUGAAGGACAGUCGACGGAGGUCUUGUGGAUGAGGGCGUCGCCUCAUUCCGGGGUCAGGAUCCCCCACUUCUCCAUGUAGACGCACCCGUUGGGGUAGGAGCCCAAAGGUCAACAGGCUGACCACCACAUCCAGACCGUUGUCUGCCCCCUCCGCGUUCAACACCCGGCUCAUCAGACCCUCUGUUAAACACACACAUGGUUCUCAGGUUAGACACACGUCAUACGAUGACCGAUUACCAACAUUUCAGACCGACUCUCUGAAGACUAAAACUCCAUCCAGAGGCCAAAUGUCGAUGAAAUGCAAGAAAAGCAACAGAGCUACGAUGUCUGCAUGCAGGGAUUUGACUCGGGGCAGAGCAAGCAGGGGCUGGGGGAAUAGGAAUCCAUUCAUGGGAGAAUCGGGACUCUUUGAUUAAGCGAUACUUGAUUGAGCAACGUUGUCAGAUUGACCCAAAUCAGUACUUUCCUAUAGAGAGCUCUAUAGGAAAGUACUGAUUUGUGUCUCUCUGACAACAUUGCUCAAUCAAGUAUCUCUUAGUGUUAUGCGUGCUCGACAAUCGUCCAUUUGCAUUGAGGACCUGUAGAACAGAAACCACAACGUAAACCUUCCAAAAAGAUCGAAAUACCGUACCACAAUAUUUACAGAAUCUCAGUAUUCACACAACGGCUUUUCAUAUCGCAUCGUUCCGGCUGAUUCCAGACCCUAGAAGAGACUGCGGUGGGCGGGGCAAGGGGGGAUGUGAACCAAUCACCUUCAGGGAAGCCAGAGAUGGUGAGGAUGUCCUCCAGCUGGACCUUGGCCUCCUGGGUCAUCCUCAGGGUGGACGUGUUGAGGCGCUUCUGCUCUCACACACACACACACACACACACACACACACACACACACACACACACACACACACACACACACACACACACACACACACACACACACACACACACACACACACACACACACACACACACACACACACACGAAGUGAAGACUAGAAUAGAGUUGAUUUCUAAAAUUGCUGGUUUGGUCAUGUGAUGUUUAAUUCAAACCACAUCGUAUAACAUUUAUAGCGCCUAGAAGGGCUGCAAUAGUAACUAGGGCCCCAUCCUAUUAUCCCCCCUAGCCCUAGAUUUGAGCCCUAGCCCUAGAAGUUGUGCGUUCCCUCGGAGGGGCAGGGUGAUCCAAUACUUAGGGGCAAGAGAGAGGGCCUAUUUCCCCUUAAAGUCCCUUGGCAGCUCGCCAGCUCGGUACCUCACUUACAGCCAAGGGAGUAUCACGUAUGACCCAGGACACGUUGAGAACUCAGCAAGCGGCUAUUUUUCCAUGUUUCUCAAACAGUUAUACAUUAUGUUAAAUUAUUUAUCCGUAGUCUGGAUUUAACUGUACGAGCUGAAUGUGUAGGUUGUCUUAUUUUCGACACAAGGGUGACAUUUUCAAACGUGAACGAAAAUAGUAGUAGGCUCCUUCCUGUAGUGUAGACACGUCGGUGCUGCGCGUGACGUAGGGGAGCACGUUCACUACGCUAAUUUGCAUAAUAUUAAUUAUAGUGGUGUCACAUUUCAUAGGGAACGAUCUUCACUAUCACUUCACUCUUUAUUGUGGAGGGAAGUGUUCUCGUUAAGGGGAGAGGAAUGGGACAGGGCCUAGUACUCAUCUAACGAAGCAAGGAUCAACAAUAUAAAGUCACUGAUUAAAAUACUAACAGGUAACUGUUGGAAAAGCGACGAGUAACUUCAAUACAAGCACUAGUAACUCAAAUGAGUUUGGCUUCUGGACGCAGUGUUCAAACAGAGAUACAGAAUAGAUGGGAGUGAGCGCUGGUGGUGGGGACCAGGACACCCACUUGAAGAGGCCUCCCAUGAUCAUCAUUCCCUCCCCCCUCCCCCUCUUCCUCCUCCACCACCACCUCCACCGCCUCCUCCUCCUUCUUCACCUCCUUCUCCCCCUCCUCCUCUUCCCCUCCCCCUCCUCUAUGAUAUGUAAACGAGCGGUUAUGGUGGGAGCAGGACGCUCCCUUGAAGAUGCCUCCCAUGACCAUCAUCUCGCCCAGGCGGGGCUCCACGCUGGGCCACGGGGCGUCCCAGAGAGGGCAGCUCGUCGUUGCUGUCCACAGCGUCCACUUCUGGUGGACCAACCCCAAGGAAACAUCAACAAUCCCCACAGUAAGUAAGAGUCGAUGACGUACACCGCGUCGUUGAGGGUGAUGCUGGUCUCUGCCAUGUUGGUGGACAGGACGACCUGCAGGAGGCAGGGAACAACAACAGGAGAUGGACAGGCAAGGGUGGAUUCCAGGCAGCUGGGCAGGCAGAGGAGCACACGGGGUGGAUGGCAGGCAGCUACGGGGUUGGUGAUCCUGGGCCGAGGACAACGCGGAGAGUUAAAGGUCCCACGACAUGCCACCAGGUGUGGUGUGAUUAGCCGUUACAAGCCGUUUUGGAAAUCGGCCCCUUAUGACAUCACAGGUGGGCGUGUCCACCUAGAUGUGUGCUGGAUAGAUCAGUCUACCAGCCUACCCAGUGGACUGUAGCAAACGUUGCUCAUCUCUCCGUCACACAUCUAGGUGGACGCGCCCAACAGUGAUGUCGGAAGAUUGUUUCUUUGUGUUCUGUUGGGAACAACAAGUCAACAUUCUUCCCUUUAGUUAAAGUCUCCAGUCACCCCUCCAUCAGUGAGGAUUGAUUCAACACCAGUAAGACACCAGUGGGACACCAUUGAGAGACCAGUGGGACACCAAUAAGACACCAGUGGGACACCAUGCAGUGAGACACCAGGGGGACACCAGUGAGACACCAGUGAGACACCAGUGAGACACCAGUGAGACACCAGUGAGGCACCAGUGGGACACCAGUGAGACGUUCUGCCAUUCUCCCAGAACAAAGGACUGAGGCCUCCUCAGUGCUGCCCUUGCUGGCCGGACCUCCACACUGCAGUCAUGUCCAGUAGAUAAACGAUAGCCCAGAGCAGCGGGCCGCGCCCUCAUUCUCACCGCUCACCUGAUCCUCACCCCUGAGAGGGUCCUAAACGCUGAGCCUUCUCUUUAGUCCUGGGGGGCUCUCCCUCACAGCAGAGGGCUCCUAAACGCUGGGCCUUCUCUUUAGUCCUGGGGGGCCCUCCCUCACAGCAGAGGGCUCCUAAACGCUGGGCCUUCACUUUAGUCCUGGGGGGCUCUCCCUCACAGCAGAGGGCUCCUAAACGCUGGGCCUUCUCUUUAGUCCUGGGGGGCUCUCCCUCACAGCAGAGGGGCUGCUCAAAACCCGGAGGGCUGACUGACCUCUGUUCAGGAUGGUUUGGCCCCCCCCACACACACACUGCUCCUUCAAGGGCCCCUAACUGGGCUCCUAAUGGAUACUGUUGAUUCUGCUUUUGUUUGGUUUGUUUGAUUAUUCUCCUCGAUUAAACUUGUCAAAGUUCCGUUCUGUAUUUGAUGUAAUCAAUAAAAGGUUGUUUUUGCUAUAACCAAGUACGACCACUAGA